AUGGUGAAUGUUGUAUUUGCUGGUAACUGGGCAACUCUGUGCCAUGAUAAGCUGUGGGAGCAGAUUGAAUCUGAGUAUGCAUGUGUACCCAAGGAUAAAGAGCAUCGUUUAUUGUCCAUACAGAAAGUUCUCUUUUUGAGCUGCAAUAGGUCUAGAAAAUUAUGCAUGAAACUAGAAUAUAAUGGAUUGCAUUGUCCAGUCUCAUCAGAGACUAUGGGCAACAGGGCUUGCAUUGUGGUAAUGAGAUUCUUGUUGUCGUCUGAGCUUUUAUCUGCGCAUUCGGGCCUCAGGUUUUCCUUUCAGCAUGUUCCUCCUUUCCUUUUUAUCUUUCUUUUUAACCUUUUUUAA
rnacentral:rRNA from 1 species